CCUACGGGAGGCAGCAGUGAGGAAUAUUGGUCAAUGGGAGAGAUCCUGAACCAGCCAAGCCGCGUGAGGGAAGACGGCCCUAUGGGUUGUAAACCUCUUUUGUCGGAGAACAAAACCCGGGACGUGUCCCGGACUGCGUGUAUCCGAAGAAAAAGCAUCGGCUAACUCCGUGCCAGCAGCCGCGGUAAUACGGAGGAUCCGAGCGUUAUCCGGAUUUAUUGGGUUUAAGGGGUGCGUAGGCGGUCCGUUAAGUCAGGGGGAAAAUUGCGGGGCUCAACCCCGUCGAGCCGUUGAAACUGGCAGACUUGAGUAGGCGAGAAGUACGCGGAAUGCGCGGUGUAGCGGUGAAAUGCAUAGAUAUCGCGCAGAACUCCGAUUGCGAAGGCAGCGUACCGGCGCCAGACUGACGCUGAGGCACGAAAGCGUGGGGAUCGAACAGGAUUAGAUACCCGGGUAGUC
rnacentral:rRNA from 1 species